CACGUAGUUAGCCGGCGCUUCUUCUGCAGGUACCGUCACUUGCGCUUCUUCCCUGCUGAAAGAGGUUUACAGCCCGAAGGCCUUCAUCCCUCACGCGGCGUCGCUGCAUCAGGCUUGCGCCCAUUGUGCAAUAUUCCCCACUGCUGCCUCCCGUAGGAGUCUGGGCCGUGUCUCAGUCCCAGUGUGGCCGGUCGCCCUCUCAGGCCGGCUACCCGUCGUCGCCUUGGUAGGCCAUCACCCCACCAACAAGCUGAUAGGCCGCGAGCCCAUCCCUGACCGAAAAACUUUCCAACCACCCCAUGCGAAGGUAGCUCAUAUCCGGUAUUAGCCCCGGUUUCCCGGAGUUAUCCCGAAGUCAAGGGCAGGUUACUCACGUGUUACUCACCCGUUCGCCACUAAUCCACCCAGCAAGCUGGGCUUCAUCGUUCGACUUGCAUGUGUUAAGCACGCCGCCAGCGUCUCUCGUGCGAGAGUCAACUACU
rnacentral:rRNA from 1 species